rnacentral:rRNA from 1 species
UACGUAGGAGGCAAGCGUUGUCCGGAAUUACUGGGUGUAAAGCGCGUGUAGGCGGCAGGCCAAGUCUGUGGUGAAAUCGCUCGGCUCAACUGGGCGGGGUCCAUGGAAACUGGUCGGCUGGAGGACGGUAGAGGUGAGUGGAAUUCCCGGUGUAGUGGUGAAAUGCGUAGAUAUCGGGAGGAACACCAGUGGCGAAGGCGGCUUUCUGGCCUGUUCUUGACGCUGAGGCGCGAAAGCUAGGGGAGCAAACGGG